UCCUCAGUAGCUCAGUGGUGAGAGCGCAUGGCUGUUAACCAUUAGGUCGUUGGUUCAAAUCCAACCUGGGGAG
rfam:Micromonas sp. RCC299 mitochondrion, complete genome.